UUAAACCAUAUAUAAAAAAACACAAACUGAUUACACACAAUAUGAAAACAAAGUUAAAACUAUGCAGAACUCACAAAUAUUACAAUCCUUGAACAAGGGACAAAUGUUUUCACACAAAUCCAACUUACAACAAUUUUGAUUACAAACAAAAUUCAGCACUCAGGUUUCACAAUCCUUGAAUUCAUACGACAAUGUGGCAAUACAACAAUCGAAACUAUGGGAUAACGCGGCGUCUGACCCCUUCGAUCAGCUCUCUCAUUUGCCUGAAAAUCGGUAGAUGGACAAUCUCAAACAUUGUGACUAUAAUAGGAACAUUAAAAUGUGAUAUUGCAAAGAUAUUAGGUAGACCUAUGCAAAUCCUUGUGAUAAUCUAAAUAAUUUAGAAUCGAUCAAACUGCUUGAUAAAAAUAAUGCAAACUCUCAACUUUGAGGGAACAGCCUGUGACUUAAAAUACAAUUUUAAUGUACCAAAUUAAAUAAACAAAUCUUGAUUUCUGCAACUCAUUAAAAUCAAGAGCACAUCAUAUGAGUUAGUAACAUCUACACAAAUGCUUAUGCAGAGCGGAAAAGAGGAACCAAAUUUUACGAGCACGAUAUUAAAUACGAGUUUGGAAAGGCAAUGUAAUUAAUAAAUAUUUUUUAUAGUAUUUUGAUUCGAAUAUUUUGUGAAGCAAUAAUUCUUAAAUUAAAAAAUCCAACGCAGAGAGCAGCUAGAGACUCACCUGCGGCAGCUGGGGAAGCAACUCUCGAUUCAGAAGCAACAUAAGCUAGCCUCAACUGCAAAACGACGACGUACCCUUCACUUGUAAAACAUGUUUUCACACUAAUCCUUCAACAAGGGACUAAUGUUUUCACACUAAUCCAACUUUCAAACAAUUUUGGUUACAAACAAAAUCCUUCCAUCGGCUCUUUCAUUUGCCUGAAAAUCGAUAGAUGGACAAUCUCAAACACUGUGACUAUAACAGAAACAUUAAGACGUAAUAUUGCAAAGUAGUAAGACUAACCUGUUAGGCAAGUUGCAGACUCACUUGACCUCAAAAAGAAGAUUCGAUGACAAGUUGAAAGGAAAACUUGUCUUUUAAUUCAUUGGCACAAGCGACAACUAAAGGAUUGCACUCGACUAAAUUAAUGAUCUCUAUCCAAGAGUGGUCAUACGGCCAAUCGAGCUGUUGUAAUUUGUAGCAAUGCUGCAUGCUUAGUCUACGAAGCUCCGGGAAGCUUCCACGUUGAGGUCUCCAUCGCACCAAAUCGGUGUCUUAAAUUCGAAGUUCAAUAAGUUUCAAAAAACUCCCUGGUGUUAUGUCCCACUCUGGGCCUCGAAAUGCAUAGUCGAGUAAUAUGAGAAUCUCGAGAUUUGGCAGCAGCGAACCAAUGUCAUUCAUGUAAUUCCAAGGAUACCCCCCUAACCCAGACAACAUUAACACCUUGAGAUUUGAUGGAAACAUUGAAAGAGGAAUCGUAUUACACUCAUUCUUUAUCUCGGGAUUGUUAACCCAAUAUUCAAGUCUCUCCAAAUUCUGGAGUUGGGAGAUAUAACCCAAGCAACUCGAUGGGUUUCUUUCAUCAUCAUCAUCAUAAGGCUUCAACUCCACUUCAAUAAUUAAUUUCUUUAAAUUAGGAAUUCUUUUGAGAACUUCCCUUGUACAACUCUUUGCACUCACACCAAUAAGUGAGGUGAGUUUGUGCAAGGUAGCAUCAUCAGUAUUAGGGGUUGGUAGGUCGCUUCCCCAAAUCUGAAUCCCCUCUAGUUGUUGCAGGUUCCAAAUUUGCACAGGCAUAUAAGACUGAACUCCACGCUUUUUAAUGUAAAUAUGUGGAUCGGUAAUCAAGAAUUGAAGAUUAAAAAGGUUGGAUAUGGAAUGAGGGAGCUCCCCGUUGUAUUUUAGGGAAAGGUACCGCAGACAAACAAGUUUUAAAAUUUCAAUUGGGAUAUGGUAAAAUCGAACUCUAAGAGCACAUAGUACUCUAAGCAACUUGAAACCCAUGGCAUGUAUUGGGAUUGGAUAUGGGUGAUAAGGACCAUGACAAAGGAGAGAACGGGCAGUGGAUGCACAAUCACUUUUUAUCGAAUCAUACACUUGUUUGAAGCAGAAUAAACUAUUCCAAUGGGCACACAAGCGACGCUGGUCUUUUAUUACAUCAUCACAACCUCGUAAGACAUGUAGAAACUUGAUCCUACUAGCUUCUACCUUACAUAAGUGCUGCCAACAAGAAUGCACGCGAUACGCUCUAUUUGAAAUACCACAAAUUUUCUGUGUCGAGAACAAGAUGAUACGACUUAGAAAGCUUUUCCAAGAAACCUUCAAAACUUUUUUCAACAUUCAGUUCAAGAAAGCCCUCAGCACUCAAAAGAUAAUUAAUAUCGAAUGGUCUCUGAUCAGCAUAAGGAGGGAAAGCUCCCAUAUAGAGGAAAAACAUUUUUAAAUGUUGGGGUAAGUAGUCAUAGCUUGGGAAAAGUACCUCUGAUAUUUGAUUAUAUGCAUCCUCGAAAAGUGAGUUUUGUUGUUUGUAGGCUACCUCAGUCCAAUAUUCUGGGGUCUUGUCGGCUUUUGAUAGGAGCUCUGCAACUGUGACUAUCAUAAGCGGAAGACCUUCACAUUUCUCAGCAAUCUUCUCUCCCAGUUCCUUAAGUUGAGGAGGGAAACCGUCUUCACUAAACACCUUCUCACCAAACACCUUCUCACCAAGUAGUUUCUUACUAUCUUCUUCAUUCAACAAGCUCAAUAUCAUGCCCCCAUGCUGCUUGUAUGUUAUACGUUGUCUACUUGUAAGUAAGAACUGAAUCCCUCCAAGAGUAUUCUUUUCUCGCAAGCAAUUUGUCAAGCGAUUUGUUGCUUGUACCCCCCAAACAUCAUCCAACACGAUGAGGCAUUUCUUAUCCUGCAAUUUUUCUUUCAAUAGUCCAACUAAUUCCUCAUCAUCAUCUUCUCCUUGGGCAAGCAUUCGGUAAGCGUUGGGAUCCACUUGAGCUAGAACGCAACGUAAUAGUUCAUUGGGUUCGCAUUUUCUACCCACUUUGACCCAUGCUCGAAAGUCAAAAUGGCUCCGAAUUGAUGGAUCUUCAAAAAUAUGUUUAGCAAGAGUUGUCUUUCCAACUCCCGCCAUCCCAACGAGCGAACAAUGUUUAUCUUGAAGAAGAUUAUCUCUGGCUUUUUCAAGUUCAUAAGAUAAUCCAACUAUCUUUGAAUUGAUCAUUCCACCAAAAUCAAUUCUUGAGGAAAUAGGCUCGCCCUCUUCCUCUGGCAUAUUCAACUUUUCAAUGAUGUACUCUAUCUCCAUCAUCUUCACCAUCUCGAUGAAGCAAUCAACAUGGUGUUGCAGACUCUGCAGAUCUACAGAGAAUGACAAGUUGUGUCUCUCGCUUUCGAGUUGUUGAAGAAUCUGAGGUAAGAUAUGGGAUUCGAGUAAAUCUUCGAAUUCCCAAACUGCCUCUUUGAUGAGUUCAUCCGCAGCAUUCACCUUCGUCCUGAUCUUGCUGCAGCUGGUGUCAUCCAAUUUGAGCAGAAUUCUCUGCAAGUGAUCCAUCUGGUCGUAGGCAGGUUGUAAGAUUUGUGGAGAGUGGGAAACGAGAGAAAUGCGAGACGAUUGUAGAAUACGCUGAAUCGUAUUCUUGAGAGAAGCCGCCGCACCAUAAGCCGCCAUACCCAAAUUAUCAGCUGAAUCGAUUCAUAUUCAGUCGCCUAACAAAGAAUUGGAGAAGAAGAAGGAAUUAUAAUAAGCAAAUAGAGAUGAAACAAAUGAUAGAUCUCAGCUCUCUGCUUACCUCUUGGAGGAGUUGGCGCAAGUCAACGGUGGCAGCAGCUGGUUUUGAUACAAAUUCAGAAACAUUCAAUACCACAUUCAAGAACUUUAGUAAAUGAUUUGAAAAGAUGUGUAUAAUGUAAUGCUAAAUGCUAAAGUAAUAAAUUAAAGUUUGAAUAUAAAUUUAAUUCAAAAUCAUUAUUUAUGGGAUAUGAGAAAACUAAUGUUGGAAUGGGCAAAUGGGAUCAAAAGCCAACAGCUCUCAAUACCAGAUCUCGAUGCAAAGCAUGUGGGAAUAGUGAUGGCGUUUCAGACGAUGUUGAGUGUAAUCCAAAUACUCAACAGGGAUUUCAUGUAUUUUAAAUAUGAAGCCAUAAAUUAAUUAGUAUAUUGCCAUAAUCUUAAAAUUUUAAGAUAUAUAUAUAUAUAAAAAAAACACAUAAACUGUUUUCACACAAAUCCAACUUACAACAAUUUUGGUUACAAACACAAUUCAGCACUCAGGUUUCACAAUUUAUGUAAUUUGUGAAUUUAAUAAACUCUGAUCACAAUUUAUGAGUUAUAAAAAAAUAUAUAAAAAAGGAAAAUUGCUAACAUGGACUACACAUUAGCGGUGUUUAUCAUAGGUGCUCAUAAAUUGUGUGCAGUAUAUUGAUCCUCGUAUUUAUAAUAUCCUUAUUUUAAAUUUUUCUAGAUAGUUUUAUAAAUUUAAAAUAACAAGGAAAUAGUUAAGAGUUAUCAUAAUUAAAACAAUAAAAACUAAAAUUAGCAUAGUCGAAAUGAUAAUUAUUAAAAAAAUAUAGGAAACAGAAUAUUAAUCAAUUUUCCUUUUUUUCUAUAUUUUUUUAUAGCCUUCUGAAAACAUAAGAUUAAGUUGACAUUUGAUCUAAUGUUUAUGUGACGAUGUGUCCUUAAAUGUUUUAAAUUGUCAAUUAGUUCUAGAUCAUGACAUUGUUUAAUAUAUUUUGUGAUUACACAAUCAGACUAAUUAAAAGAAUCAUUAAAAAAAAUUCUCAUACCUACUCCAUUGACAUAAUUUUUUUUUGAAGAGACUCCAUUGACAUAAUUAGUAGGUCUAUUUCAUGCUAUAUAUGAAGGAGUCCACGUGUAAUUUAUUAAUGUUGGAUUUAUCAUAUUUUAAUGUGGUCAUGCUUUUUGUGAUUCAUCAUACAAGUACUCCAUUGGCAAAUUAUUCGUAGUGUUUGCAACACAGUUUUUAACUCAGGGUUUUUUAUUUUUUUAUUGAAGGCUCGAAAGAUCAUGAUUAGUUAUGUGGCAAUUAAACUAAUUAAAGAAAUAAAGAACUACUUAAUCUAAUUAUGAAAAAAGAACUUAUUAAAAAUAAUUAAAAUCCAAAAUUAAGGGGUCGAAAUUUAUGAAUUAUUUAGCCUUCUCUUAUUUCUAAUCAUUUAAAUCCAAAUUGAAAUUGAUAGUAAUUUUAUUUCUUACUCGAAAGUGCCAUGGAUUUUGAAUGUCUUCUAAAGAAAUCUAUAUAUAUAUAAAAGCUCAUCCAACUUCACAAUUUUUUUCCCGNAAAAUAUCACUUUUUCAUAUAACAUACGUGUCAAGUUGUUAUUUUAUUUUUGUUUAUAGAAGAUUAAUAAUAGUUCUCUAUGGUGGAAUAUCUAAAGUGCCAUGGGUUUUGAAUGUCUUCUACAGAAAUUGAGUAGAAUUUGAUGCCUUUUAAUAGUGAGGCAUAAUUUAAAAGAUAAAUGAUGGAGUUGGGCCUUAACUUUUUGUAUUGGGCCGAAAUUUUGUUUAUUAUAUGGAGAAGCCCAAUUGAUAGGCAAUGCCGUAAUAGGUUAGCUGAUAAAAAUGCUUUAGAAAUUUUAUGAAUGAUUAAUUAAUCUAAUUCUUUUCUUUUCUUCUUUGACAAUGAGAGCUCUUAAUCAGAUUCACUUCAUAGCUAAAUCAACAACAUUUUUAACCUCACAACUCUUGCAGUUAUUUAUUUACAUUGGAAAAGAACAAACUUAAUUAGCACAAUAAUUUUGUUCAUACAAACUCCCACCAAAUCAUGGCUUUUCUGUAGUCAUCAGCAAAACAACUUUUAAAUUUCAAGAAAUGUAAAAUAAACCUCAAAGAAAUAAAAUAACAAAAGAAGACAACAACAACAUGGGUUCUCAAAAUAAAAUGACAAUAAGACUACUGGAAAAAGCUCAUCCAAGUACUCAACAGGGAUUUCAUGAAUUUUAAAUAUGAAGCCCAGAAAUUAAUUAAUAUAUUGCCAUAAUCUUGAAAUUUUAAACCAUAUAUAAAAAAAAAACACAAACUGAUUACACACAAUAUGAAACAAAGUUAAAACUAAUGCAGAAGUCACAAAUAUUACAAUCCUUGAACAAGGGACAAAUAGUUUUCACACAAAUCCAACUUACAACAAUUUUGAUUACAAACAAAAUUCAGCACUCAGGUUUCACAAUCCUUGAAUUCAUACGACAAUGUGGCAAUACAACAAUCGAAAUUAUGGGAUAACGCGACGUCUGACCCCUUCGAUCAGCUCUCUCAUUUGCCUGAAAAUCGGUAGAUGGAAUCUCAAACAUUGUGACUAUAAUAGGAACAUUAAAAUGUGAUAUUGCAAAGAUAUUAGGUAGACCUAUGCAAAUCCUUGUGAUAAUCUAAAUAAUUUAGAAUCGAUCAAACUGCUUGAUAAAAAUAAUGCAAACUCUCAACUUUGAGGGAACAGCCUGUGACUUAAA
rnacentral:lncRNA from 1 species